AUGUACGGCGCCCCCUCAUCCAAAAUAAGUAAUUUACAAACCUCCUUUCUGAUCAGGGGAAUCCUACGAUCCCAGCCCAUCUGUCCCGACUCCAGACAACCCAUAACAUUAGACAUUCUCACAAAAUGUAUCCACACCCUCCGCACAGGUUACCAGCCUCUCAGUACCGCCCGCACACUCAAUGCCAUGUUUAUUCUAGCCUUUUUCAGGUUUCUUAGAUGCUCUGAACUCACUAUCUCCUCUAAAUUCGAUCCAAAAAUCAACCCUACCGUCUCAAAUUUAACCGUACUCAAUAGCGAAACAAUUUCUUUCUUAAUCAAACAAAGCAAGACAGACCAAGCUAAGAAAGAUCAUUUUAUCUACAUUUUCAACCUCUCAUCUCCAAUCCAACCAUAUCAGUCCAUCCUCGAGUACCUCUGCCUUAGGAAUUCACAGGUUAAUCCCUCCACGAACCACUAUUCUUAGACGACUCCAAAAAACCCGUCACUCUGGUUUCAAAAACAUCUCAGAUCCGUCCUGCAAUUGUCGCACAUCCCAGCAAAAAAAUUCUCUAGCCCCUCUUUUUGCAUCAGGGCAGCAACAUCAGCAGCCCAAAAAGGCCUUUCCAAGCAGCAGAUUCAAAGGAAGAUUAUUUUCAGAAACUUUUCAAAGCUACAUCAGAACUAACCAGUUUCACACUAAAGUUGCCCACCAAACCCUCAUUGGUCUCCAAUCUCCCAGUCGGUAUUUCCUUUUCUCUCUCCCGCCCGGCAAGGCUUACCUGUCUGAUACAGUGAGUCUUGAUCUCCUGUCAGAUGAGGGAGAGAGUUCUCCUUGCCGGACGGCCCAAAGAGUUUUUACCUUACCAAACCAAAGGGACACACUCGUCCUGAGUCCUGAGUCUUGAUCUUCAGUCAGAGGCUUCAAGGGCCCUCUCAGUCAGGCAUUUGCCCUCUGCCCACUGAUCAGCAGGGGCUUCUCCCGGGCCGGACACUGUGAGCUGUUCCAGUCGAGGCAACUCAGGCCCUCCUGGUCGGGCUUUACAGUCAUGCUGCUCCUCCCCCAUCAGCCGGUAGGUUAUCUAGGUUUUGAUCCACUUCAAAUUUAAAUGUUGACUAGUGUAUAUAUAUAUAUAUAUAUAUAUAUAUAUAUAUAUAUAUAUAUAUAUAUAUAUAUAUAUAUAUAUAUAUACACUCACCUAAAGGAUUAUUAGGAACACCUGUUCAAUUU
ensembl:lncRNA